GAUGAACGCUAGCUACAGGCUUAACACAUGCAAGUCGAGGGGUAACGAGAGGAGAGCUUGCUUUCCUUGUCGACGACCGGCGCACGGGUGAGUAACGCGUGUCCAACCUGCCCCCAACUAGGGAAUAACCUUGCGAAAGUAAGACUAAUACCCUAUAAUUUCCUCAGAUGUCAUCUGACGAGGAAUAAAGAUUUAUCGGUUGUGGAUGGGGAUGCGUCUGAUUAGCUUGUUGGCGGGGUAACGGCCCACCAAGGCAACGAUCAGUAGGGGUUCUGAGAGGAAGGUCCCCCACAUUGGAACUGAGACACGGUCCAAACUCCUACGGGAGGCAGCAGUGAGGAAUAUUGGUCAAUGGGCGGAAGCCUGAACCAGCCAAGUAGCGUGCAGGAUGACGGCCCUAUGAGUUGUAAACUGCUUUUAUACAGGAAUAAAGUUAGCCACGUGUGGUUAUUUGUAGGUACUGUAUGAAUAAGGACCGGCUAAUUCCGUGCCAGCAGCCGCCGUAA
rnacentral:rRNA from 1 species